AUAAAAAGGAGAAAAAGAAAUUGAGACUUAAAAACACAAUCACAGAAUGAGCAGGAAAAAAGAAGAAGUAAAGAGACUGGUUAUGGUGGUUCUCUAUUGAUAGUGGUCGGCCGCCCAUGGUGGUGGUGAGAAGUUUUUUUCUUCUUUUGUUUGUAAUUGGGAAGAGCCUGCAAUUGGAAAGAUGUGAUCUUUUCAUAAAAUUAAAAAUGAAACAAAAGAUGAUUUUGGACAUAAAAACCUAAAUUCGAAACAAACCGAAAGUCAAAUAAUACCAAUUCAGAAAACCGAUAAUAUUUUGGUGUGGACAUGACUUUUGAAUGGGAAUUGUGACUAGACAGUUAAGAAUUACGCUUAGCAUUCUACUGAUCGGCUGUUGAUGCGGGACUUUAUAUUCUAGUAUUAGUAUACUUUCCUCUUUCUCGUACUUCCUAUAUUUCUUAUAUUGUUGUUAUUUUGUUAUUUUAUGUUAUGCUGUGUAUUUUAUGAUAUUUAUUAUGGGAUUAUUGCUAGUACUAAUAUAUCGUCACUUGUUGCUGUCACUUGUUCCCUUCCUGAGCCGAGGGUCUUCUGGAAACAGCCUCUCUGUCCUUCGGGGUAGGGGUAAGGUCUGCGUACAUAUUACCCUCCCCGGAUCCUACUUGUGGAAAUAUAUUGGAUUGUUGUUGUUGUUGAUAAUAUUUUGGUGGUUUUUAUUUGAAUUUUAAAAGUCGAUCAAAUUUAAUUUGAUU
rnacentral:lncRNA from 1 species